UUGAAGUGUUAAAAUCCACGGCGUAAGAGCAAAGGGAAGGAAAUGUUCACCAAGGAUGAGAUAGCUGGCAGAGAUUCUACCUCCGCAGCCACUUUUCUCUCUGUGGAAAGAACCGGCCUUACAGCAUCAGCAUACAAACACCUCGCUAUUCAAUUAAAUUAAGGCCAGCUCGACACUAAAUCCAUGUGGCAGAGGCUGCCCACAUGACAAUUAGACUGUCCAACAGACAGAGGAAGAGGGAGGGACGAGAUAGUGGAGCAAUGCAGAUGAGAAGAUGGGCUCCACUCCGACGUCUGAACAAUAGAGAGCCGAUGAUGCUGCAGCCGACGGCCGCUUAGCUUCGCCAGAGGAGGCUGACUUUGCUCUGUUCAAUGACAAAACAGUAGACCAGCGGUGUUGGUAUAAAGGGAUGGCGCGGCGUUCACCUGAAUGCGCCGAUGUGUGACCACACGUGUCUGAGCCAAUGAGAGCACACAGGACGUUGUGAUGAAGAUUGACUUGUUGAGUAAUGAAAAGCCACAGCAGCCCUCCUCUGAGAGACAGAGCGAAGGAGAGGAACGAGAGAGCGAAGUAAUGAAGUAAUGAAGGAGAAAACGGCUCAAAGGCUC
ensembl:lncRNA